rnacentral:rRNA from 1 species
UACGUAGGGGGCAAGCGUUGUCCGGAUUUAUUGGGCGUAAAGAGCGUGUAGGCGGCUUUGCAAGUCCGUUGUGAAAACUCGAGGCUCAACCUCGAGACGCCGGUGGAAACUGCAAAGCUAGAGUCCGGAAGAGGAGAGUGGAAUUCCUGGUGUAGCGGUGAAAUGCGCAGAUAUCAGGAGGAACACCAAUUGCGAAGGCAGCUCGCUGGAACGUAACUGACGCUGAGACGCGAAAGCGUGGGGAGCAAACAGG